rnacentral:pre_miRNA from 1 species
GUAAUACUCCCUCCGUCCCAAAAUAAGUGACUCAACAUUGUACUAACUUUGUACUAGUGUUAGUACAAAGUUGAGUCACUUAUUUUGGGACGGAGGGAGUAUAAG